GAUGAACGCUGGCGGCGUGCCUAACACAUGCAAGUCGAGCGGCAGCGCGGGGUGCUUGCACCCUGUCGGCGAGCGGCGGACGGCUGAGUAACGCGUGGGAACGUGCCCCAAAGUGAGGAAUAACUGCCCGAAAGGGUAGCUAAUACCGCAUAUUAUCUUCGGAUCAAAGGAUUUAUCCGCUUUGGGAGCGGCUCGCGUCGGAUUAGGUAGUUGGUGAGGUAAUGGCUCACCAAGCCGACGAUCCGUAGCUGGUCUGAGAGGAUGACCAGCCAGACUGGAACUGAGACACGGUCCAGACUCCUACGGGAGGCAGCAGUGAGGAAUCUUGCAAAAUGGGCGAAAGCCUGAUGGAGCAACGCCGCGUGCAGGACGAAGGCCUUCGGGUUGUAAACUGCUUUUAUAAGUGAGGAAUAUGACGGUAACUUAUGAAUAAGGAUCGGCUAACUACGUG
rnacentral:rRNA from 1 species